UACAGAGGGUGCGAGCGUUGUUCGGAAUUACUGGGCGUAAAGUGUGCGCAGGCGGCGUCGCAAGUCGAGUGUGAAAUCCCCGGGCUUAACUUGGGAAUUGCGCUCGAAACUACGAUGCUGGAGUAUGGCAGAGGAAGGUGGAAUUCCACGUGUAGCGGUGAAAUGCGUAGAGAUGUGGAGGAACACCGAUGGCGAAGGCAGCCUUCUGGGCCAAUACUGACGCUCAUGCACGAAAGCGUGGGGAGCAAACAGG
rnacentral:rRNA from 1 species